AGUUUACAGACUCCACCUAUUUUGGGGGUUUCUAAAGUUUGGUUUUUGUAUUGAAAUGCAGAACAUAUGUUUUGUAUUACUAUCUCUAAUUUAGUUUAGUGUUGUUCUCUUUGGUUGAAUAGUUUAGUGUUUCCAAGGAGAUAUUUUUACACUAAGAGGCAGAAAGAUGCAAAUGUCGAUGACCAAGUAUAGGCACAUUUGAUUUGAAUUCUU